UUAGCCACAGUUUAUCUGUUAGUUGUUCUUCUGGUAGGUGUUGGGUUUUCAGUUCUUCUGACCUCUUUAAUUUCCCCUUGUCUUCGGUUCCUGUUCUUUCUCUAUUAUCUUCUCUGCUCUUCUUUUCUUUUUUUUUUAAUUUAAUUUUUUUUCGUUACUUCUGAACUUUUUACUUCUUGUUUUACUUCUGCUUCCUCUCCAUCCCCACCCCUGCCCCACUUCCCUGGACGACAAGGUCAUCCCAGUUAUCCCUGAUAUCCUGAUCCUGGUCUUCCAUUGGUUCUGCCCAGCAUCGAUGCUGCCCCCACCUUCUGCACCUUCUCUUCCAUGAAGAACAUGUCCACAUUGGUCCUAGGAGAGUCCCACCUGCUACUGCUGCUGCCUGCCAUCUGCAGCCAAGUGUGACUGUGUGUGAAGCGACCUUUAGGUUAGCUGAGGGAUUGAGAAUAAUGCUGCAACAAGCAUGGGAAUAUAGGCAUCUUCUGGGCAUCCUGACUUCAGUUCGGGAGUAUGUGGUGUCUUUUGAUGAAGAUUUGAGCCCAGGGCUGCGUUGGGCAGAGAUGCAGUUCUGUGAUCCUCUUGGGAUCAUGUUUCAAGGCUUUGUUGAUGAGAAUAGCUAAGGAGUGUCCCAUAAAGUGAUUUUCAAAGUUUUUGCUCUGUCUUUAGUGGACUCAGUACUGACCACACCUGUGUUACCCCAGUGUUAUGGAUGGAAUUGUGCCUUCCCCACCAAGAGAAGGCUCCAUUCCCAUCAUGAGAUACCCACAUGAACUGAUGGAAAUUUGGAAAUUUCCCAAGGUCCUACUUCCAAAUACCAUUAUAUUGGAGGUUAUAACUUCAAUAUAUGAAACAAAAAUGGAAUGAGGACGAAAACAUCCAGCCCAUAAUAUUGAUUUACUGGGGAAGCGCUAGGGAUGGAACCCAAGGCUUCACAUUUGCUCUAUUGCUGAAUCGCACCUAUGUCCCCACCAUUUUUGCUUCAGGUCUUUUGGUUACAGCAAUGAACAAGCUGACUAAAACAGUCUCACACAUGAGCUUUUGGGAACAUCUCCUGUCUAACAUGGACUGAACCAAUACUUCCCACCCAGCCAUGACAUCCUGGAUGCUGAACCCAAGAAACUCCUUCCCAUGUCUCCAACAAGAUGUGUAAAGCUCUGUUCAUUGUAGAAAUGUUUGUAAUACAGAAGAUUUGGAAACACCUAAAAGCUUGCAAAUGGGAAAGUAGAUAAAUAAAAUGUGUUACAUACAAAUAAUGAAAAAUGUUAGGCAGAUAAAGGAAUGCUCAGGCCCACAUCUACUUAUAUCAGUCUGGAGCAAUCUCAAAAGCAUCACCUGGGCUGGGAAAAGGUGAGAAGCAGUAAGAGAUGUAUACCAACAGGCCAUGCAUAUAUAUUUUUUAAAAUAUUUUUUUAGUUUGCAGAUGGACACAAUACCUUUAUUUUAUUUAUUUUUCUGUGGUACUGAGGAUCAAAUCCAGAGCCUUACACAAGCUAAGCAAGCACUCUAUCACUAAGCCACAACCCCAGCCCCUGCAUAUAUGUUUAAAAGCACACACAUAAUACCAAAAUUGCAAAUAGAAAUAUAAUCAAGGAAGACAUAGAAAAAAAUCGAAACAAAAAAAAAUCACAGGAAUAAAUCCUGUGGUAGGUCGAGGAAAAUGAGAUUUGGGAUAGGGUAAGGGGUCAAAAAACAAAGUAAAAUAAAAGUGAGCCCUUCCUGUGUCGAUGAAGUCUGUGCACCUUGACCCAGGGAGAAUGGCUGAUUUCCUCUGAGCACGCCCCAUCUCAGCAAGCAGAAAACUAAACCAAAACACGAGUUAAUAUUUAACGCAUGUGGAAAGAAAACUCCAGUGAGUGCCCGUGGAUACCCCUAUGCCUGAUGUGUGCUCAGAGGUGGCAGAGGGCAGUCACUCAGGCUGGGUCCUGAGGGCAGAGGGAGGCCUCAGGCAGCUUCAGGAAGUUGAGGAGCCCCAGACCUUCAGCCCUUGCGAUUCUCUCCAGACGGCUGGUCUUAUUCCAGGGCCACACCACAGUGUAGCCUUGACUCACUUUAAUCACACAGCCUCCUAGAGGUGCUGCACACUGCUCUCAAGAAACUGCUGGGUCACUAGAUGGUCCCACAGAGAUUGUCACCACAGGGGUUUCACCCUGUCAUUCACCUGAAGCUCCUCCAGCACAGUCUGGAGACCCUGGGCACAAACUCCUCCAGCCUCUUCUGUUGCCGGCCUCCAGUGACAAAAGCUACUUCUCAAGACAAUCAAGUCCAGAAUGGUCCAGCUUAUGUUUCAUGUGGAGGACAGAGGGGAGUGGCAGCUUUGAUGAUGUUUGAGGUCUCACUCUUGGAGAAAGAAGUAGGGAGAGAUAGAUGAUGAGUUACCUGCUGUCCCCCAAAUCCCCUUUAUUUUCUUGGUCUCUGUUUGGAGAGGCGUCCGUGAGGUUGAAGCACCCCUGCCCCAAUGUCUUGACCCAACCGUGGGGCGACUGGCCCAGUUCUGUGUGGUUAUGUUGUUCAGUGAGGAAGCAGGUGGAGGAAGUAGGAACAGCA